rnacentral:rRNA from 11 species
AAUAAAGCCUACGGCCAUACCAUCCUGAACACGCCCAAUCUCGUCUGAUCUCGGAAGCUAAGCAGGGUCGGGCCUGGUUAGUACUUGGAUGGG